rnacentral:rRNA from 1 species
CCUACGGGUGGCUGCAGUAAGGAAUAUUGGUCAAUGGACGCAAGUCUGAACCAGCCAUGCCGCGUGGAGGAUGAAGGUCCUCUGGAUUGUAAACUUCUUUUAUCUGGGACGAAAAAAGGGAAUUCUUUCUCGUCUGACGGUACCAGAUGAAUAAGCACCGGCUAACUCCGUGCCAGCAGCCGCGGUAAUACGGAGGGUGCAAGCGUUAUCCGGAUUCACUGGGUUUAAAGGGUGCGUAGGCGGGUAUGUAAGUCCGUGGUGAAAUCUCCGAGCUU